rnacentral:rRNA from 1 species
GAGCGUUCUGUUGUAGGUUGAAGCGUUAGUGAAAACGGGCGUGGACGAAGCAGAAGUGAGAAUGUUGGCUUGAGUAGCGAAAACAUUGGUGAGAAUCCAAUGCCCCGAAAACCUAAGGUUUCCUCUGCAAGGCUCGUCCACGGAGGGUUAGUCAGGACCUAAGGCGAGGCCGAAUUGGCGUAGUCGAUGGAUAACAGGUAGAUAUUCCUGUACCACUUUUUAUUGACAAUGAGGGACGGAGAAGGCUAGUUUAGCCGGAUGUUGGUUACCGGUUUAAACGUUUAGGUGUUGAGAAAUAGUGAAAAUAUUUUGAGCUAAGACGUGAAUAGGAGAUACUUUACCGUAUCGAAGUAAAUGAUGUCACACUUCCAAGAAAAGC